rnacentral:rRNA from 1 species
UACAGAGGGUGCGAGCGUUAAUCGGAAUUACUGGGCGUAAAGCGCACGUAGGCGGCUUGGUAUGUCGGGUGUGAAAUCCCCGGGCUCAACCUGGGAACUGCAUCCGAAACUGCCUUGCUAGAGUAUGGGAGAGGGAAGUGGAAUUUCCGGUGUAGCGGUGAAAUGCGUAGAUAUCUGGAGGAACACCGGUGGCGAAGGCGACAUCCUGGACCAACACUGACGCUGAGUGAGCGAAAGCCAGGGGAGCAAACGGG